GCCCAGGUGAUGGAACUGGUAGACAUUCAAGCUUGAGGGGCUUGUGGGGGCAACCCCGUGCAGGUUCAAAUCCUGUCCUGGGCA
rnacentral:tRNA from 1 species